UGGGGCAGCAGCUGGCCUAGUUGGCAGUCCUUGUAUCAGGGCCUCGUGCACGGGAUUGUAUUUUAACUUAUAACCCACCUCAGGUAGACACGCAACUCACAUGGAGAAACUCGGACCCAGAGAAGUUAAGUUACCAGCCUGAGGAAUCUUCCAUCUACAGUGUGGGACCCCAUUCCUCCUGUUGAGUCUGUGUUCUCCCCUCUUCAUCAGACUUGGGAAGUGCCUAACACUUGGAGCACCUGCCCACCUUCAGAUCUGGAUCCAGGCCACCAGCCCAGUUGUCAUCACAGAAUCAAUGCCACCUCCACAGGACUGCAUCAAUCCUACUUCUCUAGACCAUCUGUCACAGGAGUGAGAAACCUCUACAUUCCUGCAGGCUACAUUCCUGUCUCGCAUGUGGGCAGGGCAGGCAGCUGCCUUUCAGGGUUACUGCAGAGAAAGGCUUUUCAGCCUCUUCCCUGGUGAGUGAACAUCACCCUCACUGAGAGCCUCUGGGCCUGCAGAGCAUCCACCUGCUGGGAAACCUAAAGGUAGCAAGUUGACCUCCUGACACCCCUUCCCCAGAAGACCCCAGAAAGAACUCUCUCACAAGAGGCAUUGCAGGGAGUGGUCAUUUGAGCUACCUCUAGAAACAAGAAAUGCCAACAUUGCUUUGAACGCAAGCAGUGAGCGACAGGAAGAGUGCAUCUGCAAUGCCUGAAGUAGACCAAGCACCAAUUUCUUUAAUUUGUCCAGUUAAAAAAAAAGGCCAAAAACCAGGUUUUUUAAAUGAAAAAAAAAAUGAACAUUGAUGUGUUCAGCAAAAGACAGGUGGAUGGCUUUGUGCUACCAUGGAAUGAUCUUUUCAGAGUCCUAAAGAACACACAAGCUAAAGAAGAGACUUCCUAUGAAGAAGAGACUUCCUCAGGAAGCUGUUUGAGGUGGAGAGGACUUACCACUGCACAACAGCAUUGAUGGUCACUGUGAGUUGAGUGUCUGCUACUCACAUGGCACUAUGCUGCACUCUUGCCUGCGUCAAUUUACUUAAUUCUAACAAACAAACUUGUGAGUUGCUCCCUUUGAAGACCUGCCUCGGGGUUCAUGUUGCGGCAUCAAACAGGGAUGGAAGAUGCAUAUCAUGUUAGUAGUGGGAGCCUCUAAAGCAGCUGAAGUCCCUUGAGGGGGCUGGCAUGCAGAAGUCCGGACUGAGCCCAAGCACAAGGAGGAGCGGGGCCUCCUAGGCUGACUGGGAGCAGCAGACAGACACGCAGGCCUUCUCACAGCUGUGCUGAGAACGCCAGCCACGGGCACAGGGUCAUGCCUAGACCCCAUUGUGCAUCCAGCUGCCUCACACUCGUGGAAGCCCAGCAAGCAUGUGGAGAGACACACACCCACAUGCACAGUCAUGACAGAGACGCACCAGAGGUUUCUGGCAAGGAGUGUAAUUUUGUUCUCAGCAUCCUGCCAAUGACAGUCUACUGAUGUCUGAAACGUCUCUGCUAUGAAAUGCCUCUCCCCUUUACCCCCUUCCUCACCACAGCCCUGGUCCCUUGACAGGAGCGAUCAUGUCUUGAUUGGACUACAGCCCUUAUUCUGGCCUACCCUCAGUCCAUCGUACACCCCAGAACAGGCAGUGUCUGGGGUCUCACCACAUCACUUCUCAUUUAAAACCCUUCAGAGGCCUCCCCUUCACUAUAGGAAGAAGUUCAGAUCACUUGGCAUCCCUGUAAGGCCAUUGCCAUUUGGGUUCACCAGUGGUCUGGCCGCAGCCCCUGCACUGGAUGCCCCUGCACUGAGUGCCCCAGAGGAAGGGUAGUAACUGAAGCCAUCCUGCCCCCAAUUCUUUUGCUCAUGUUAGGGUCACUACGUGAAAAUCCCUCCUGCCCUCACCCCAUUUCUUUUGCUAAACUGUCAACCAUGCAUCCGUCAAGGCUCAGCUCAGCCACCCUGACUUUGGAGGCCCUGCCGU